rnacentral:lncRNA from 1 species
ACCAUUCCAUUAUUGGAGCUAUAAGCCCCUAGAAUUGCUCCAUGGCCUAUCUCGGUUUCCCUUGGAUCUCAUCUGCUCCUGAACUGCACCUGUCUGUAAAAAAACAGAUGUGAGACACCUUCUAAGUCUUCAUAUCCUACAGUAAGAACUCUACUUUGUGCCUUCCAGGGAAGAGGCUGACGCCAUCUCCUUGACAAUAGCAGCCAUCUGCUAACCACCAUUCCUCCUAGGGGAGUCUCAAUGCCUCUUUUCACACUGGCCUUCAUGAGGAUGAGGUAAAAUGGGUCUUUUACUAAUAAUAUUCCCUCACAGUGGAUUCUCCCCUAUAUAUCUGAGUUUCAGGAUCUGAGAAAAGACUAUCUCUAGACCCAUUUCCCUUAUUUUGGGAACAGAAGCGCAUCUUAGACAUUAUUUAGGAUGAAGGUGCUCAGCUUUUUUCCUGUCCCAACACUCCUAAAUAUAUGAUUUACUGUGGCACUGAGAUAGCAGUUCUUAAUUAGGAGAAGGGAGAGUUAUAAGUUUUUGGAAAAAGCCCUCCAACUAUUAAGAUAUAUAUACCCCCUACCCCAGUGAAGAACAAUCUGCUAAGUUGUAAAGAUGAGAGAACCUAGGCCCAGACACCUAAAAUGCCAGGUCUCGGGUUUCCACAACUUGUGACCAGGACUAGAAUCCCAGGUUUUUACUUCCCCAUUGAGUAUUUUCAUAUGUCCCUAGCUUGAACUUUCAAAAAGAGGGAACGGUUAUAGACCUCACCCCUGUAUCAACCUCUCCCCAUUUCCUUGUUACCAUGGCAAGUCCAUCUCCGGCCCCCAUCUCCCCUGAGCCAAUGUGAGUCAGGUGGACAAAAUUCAUUGGUUCCCCAAUCAUGGUCCGGUCAAUCCGUCUUCUCUUCUUCUUCUGCUUGGAGAAGAUAAGGAGUCAUGUCUUAAGGCCCCUCCUCCAGUCAGCACGGAGGAAGGGAAAAGAGUCUUCAAAACCACUGAAAAGCUAAGGGCCUGGUGGGAAGAGGGGAUGUGGCAUUUUAACAGGGAAAUCACUGGGGCAUGAAAGACAAAGCUGGAACAACAAAAGCACACAGAAGACAUGAACCAGAGUAGUGAGGGCAGUGGCCUGCAGAGUGAACACUGGACAAAGAAAGGACAUGUCAAAGUCACCUCUGACUGAUGACGAAAUAAUGGGGAAAACUGACAGGUAUGCAGCUCCACCUACAAACCCCACCCAGCUCAGAAUGGACAGGAACAGGAGGUAAUAGCUAGGACUAUUCACUUCUUCCAUCACCCAGUCCCCUUUGUUCCACAUAUACAGCUGCCUGACCAUAGAAGCUCCUGACACAGAGGGAGGCAAGAAGUGUGCUUUUUUAGAUGGCAGAUCCUAGAUGGUGUGGCUACCUCACAGCACACGGUAACUGACUGCUCUUUGGGUUAGGAUGGGGGGUGGGGAGACUCACCGGCUGGGGUUUCUCUACCACACAGCAGCCCAGUUUGUGCCAAAAUUCACUCAUGUUCCCUGAUGGUUCCAGCUUCACUCCUCUGUCUGAGGCCCCAAAGGGCUCUAUCCCUGGUGUUUGGACAACCCACUCCUCACUCUCCCCAGAUACACCACCACCCUGGGUUCACUCAGCUGGAUGGGUCCAGACAAAGUGGAAUCCCUGGAACCUUUAACUGAGCAGUGAAGGUCAGUGUCUCAGAGCCUGAGAGAUGAACAGGACCAGAGAGAGAGGUGGGCAGGCUGUGUACAUUCUGUUUAUCUGUGUCCUGUAUCACUGCACUCCUGUGUGUACACCUCUGUUUGCACAUGCGUGGCAUGGCCAUAUCUCCACGUGUGUCCAGUACAGAUCAUCUGUGUACAGGUUGUGGGUACAUGUGCCAGGUAUCUUCUGUCCCAUGAGGAAUAUUUUCCCCACCGUCCACAUGUCCUAUCUGCCACUCUGCUCUGCCUCACACCCUAUAGGGCCCAGGCUCCCCUCCAGCUGUGACCUGUUCUCCCCUCCCUCCUCACCAAUUCUAUCCUCAAGCUUCAUCAGUGAACCAGACAUAAGGAACUUUCCAAUAGUACUAGUGUCCAAGGAAGAACUUCCUCCCUUCUCACUACUGCCAGCCAGGGUAGGACACAUCUGGGUUUCUUCUUAGACUCACUUGCAUUUCCCCAGUCCUAUAGUACAGACAAUCUCAAAGAUUCCAAAAAGGGCAGUUUCAUAAAUAUGACACUUUAACAUGAACAGCAAUCUCCCUUUCUUGCAGGCCGGGAACCCUGAUGCUUUGGCACCCUAGACCGAUUAAAAAACAAGAGAUAGGCCGGGCGUGGUGGCUCACGCCUGUAAUCCCAGCACUUUGGGAGGCCAAGGUGGGCGGAUCACCUGAGGUCAGGAGUUCCAGACCAGCCUGGCCAACAUGGUGAAACCCCAUCUCUGCUAAAAAUACAAAAGAUUAGCUGGGCGUGGUGGCGGAUGCCUGUAAUCCCAGCUACUUGGGAGGCUGAGGCAGGAGAAUCGCUUGAACCGGAGAUUGCAGUGAGCCAAGAUCGCCAUUGCACUCCAGCCUGGGCAACAAGAGCGAAACUCCGCCUCAAAAAAAACACACACAAAAAAAGGAGAUAGCAGGGUGUGGUAGCAUGUGCCUGUCAUCCCAGCUACUGGGGAGGCUGAGGCAGGAGGAUCACUUGAGCCCAAGAGUUGCGGCUACAGUGAGCCAUGUUUGCACCCCUGCACUCCAGCCUGGGUGACAGGACAAGACCCUGUCUCAAAUACAAAACACACACACGCACACACGCACACACACACACACACACAGAGGCUUUUUUUUUUUAACAGCCUUGAGAUGAGAUCACACAAACACUCAAAUGUAGCUUCUAGGGGAGGGGAGAACCCAGGAGGCUGGGCUUUCUCUUACUUCUCUUCUCACCACUGGAAGGGAGGAGUAAACAGAAGGAGCGGAAGCUAAAACACGCUGUCCAGAGAGGGGCGCUGUGGUCAGUGGGACGUCAGUGAGUCAGUCAUAGGGUUUGUCCUGAUGGUGGUGGUGGCAGGUGGUAAGGGUUGGGGAAAAAUGAAGAAUUAGAGGAAACCCCCAACACCAGCAGGCAGGCUGUACUGUGACUAGACUCUCCCUCAACAUCCCCCACUCUGCUCAAAGCUGAGGGACAGAGGUGGAUAGUGCUGGGAGGGAAGAGAAGAGAGGGGGAGGAGAAGGAGAGAGGGAAAGGGGCAGUGGAGAGAACAAGGCCAUUUCUGUUUCUUUUCCAGGGACCUGACCAGAGCUGGGUGGAGGGAAAGCGUGUGUGUGGGACUUGGCAUGAAAUGACCAAUGAUGACGAGAAGUGACCAGGAAAUUCCAUUCCCUAGGACAUUAGGGUCUCUGAAACUUGAGGGUGGGGUCAGAGUGUGAAGAAGACAGGUCAGGGUGAAUGUGAUGGUAGCGCAGGGCAGUGGGGGAUGGGAACAAAGCCAGAAAAGGAAGUAAGAGCCACUGGCGGCCACUCUUCUUUAAAGCAGCCAGAAGAGAGUGGGUUGAGGAAAAAUGAAGUCCUGAGCUGGUCAGCCCAGGCGGAAGAGCCACCCGAUUCCAACCCCACAGUGAAUAGGGAAGGGGCUGAGAAAACAACAGGAGGGAUGAGGAUUAGACCUCAUAAGGCCACGUCCUGAGAGCCAAGUGGUGCUCAGAACUCGACCUCUCUGAGUUCCAAAUGGCAAGAGUGAAAUAUGGAACCGGGAAAGCCUCCCCCCGCCCCCACCAAGAUCACACUAGGACUUGAGGGUCUCAGAGCUGUUGGGAGGUGAGCAGAAGGGAUGGGAAAGAGGUGCCAGGGAGGAAGGAUGUACAGGCUAGUUCUCUGGUCCUAUUCGGGCCCCAAACCGGUUCUCCCGGUCCCACCGCCUCUGGCCCUAAGGCCUCCAACCCGCGGCCUGACAAGCCCUCACAUGAAGCAGCUGGAGAGAAAGAAAGAAUCGAGAGAAUGGCAUGGGCAAUUCUGGCUAGAAGCCCGGGGCAGCAGCUGGUCCCUGUGUGGAGACCCCGAGACAUGGAGGGCUGCUGAGGGACUCUGGAGAAGCGGAGUGGACUCCAUAUUUCAGCCAAGUGACAGGCCCAACACCAACCUUCCCCUUCCCCAGGAAAGGUCUUCUGGGGGCUUAAGAGGAAAGAGGGCUAGGCCCUAAGCCUCCCUCCCCAAAUAUAUUCAAUCACACAGAUUCCAUAUCUGUCUCCCCCCCACUACACAACUCUACCUAGAAGUUCUCUGCUGUUCCCAACCCUUAACCGGACUGGGACCUCUCUGGGAAUCUUUCGGACCCUCUCCCUCCCACCUCCCCCAACAUUCCAGUUCCUUCUUUUCCUUCUACUCUUCAGCGGCCUCAGCCUGCGCACCCCAGGAGCGUGGAUGACUACGGCCACCCCGGGCGCGCACCCCUUUCCCACCACCCCAGCAUCUCUGCAGCCCAGGACACCCGCCUCCCCCACACCCCGCAUCCGGUGUGUCUCCGCCUGGCCCGGCCGGCGCGGCAGGCGGGCCAGGUGACCAACUGCACGGCCUCACCUGCUCUUCUCCACCAUCCAGACGUUCAGCUACAGCUGGUGGGGGUGAGGGACUCUGCUCCGUGGCCGCUAGUGUGGGCUUCCCGGGCUAGCUCUGCGGCGAGGUGGG